AUACAGCUAGAUCCAUACCCCUAAACUCCCUAGAUGAAGGACAGUGCCUAUAUGCACUGUCCUCCUUUU
rnacentral:sRNA from 1 species